UAGUUAGGUGAUUGUGAUAUUGAACCAAAUUACUCUGUGAUUUAUAAGAUUUUAGUUGGAUUUAGGUAGGUGAUUGUGUCUCAAGAUGAUAAUCAAAAAUGUUUUGUGGAUCAUGAGAUUUUAGGUCUAGUAGAUGAGCAUGAUGAUUAUUAUAUUGGUGAGAUAAAUAGAUAUUUAAUUUAGUUUGGAAUGAUUUGAAUUUAGUUAUGUGAUUGUGAUCUUUUAACCUAAUUUUAUGAUGGAUUAUAAGGUGCUAGUUGGAUUUAGUUAGGUGGGCGUGAUUUUGACGAGCUAGUAAAAAAUGUUCGGUGAAUUAUGCGAAUUUAGGUCUAGUAGGUGAGCAUGUUGAUUAUUAUAUUGGUGGAUAAAUGAAUCUUCAAUAAAUUUGGAACAAUUUUGAUUUAGUUAGGUGAUUGUGACCUUGAACCAAACUUUAUGGUGGAUUAUGAGAUUUUUUAUGGAUUAGUUAGUUGAUUGUGAUCUUGAGAAGAUAUUCAAAGAUGUUUGGUGGAUUAAUUAUUCUUGAACAAUUUGGAUUUAGUUAGGUAGUUGUGAUACUGAACUGAAUUUCAUGCUGGGUUAUGAGAUUUUAGGUGGAUUUAGUAGGUGAUCAUGUCUUGAGAACAUAGUCAAAGAUGUUUCCUGGACUAUGAGAAUGGUGAUUAUUAUAUUCGUGGGUAAACAAAUCUUUGAUUUAGUUAGGUGAUUGUUACUUUUCAACCAAAUUCACGGUGGAUUUUGGUGGAUUUAGUUAGGGGACUCUGAUCUCAACGAGUUAGUCAAAUAUGUUUGGUGAAUUAUGUUAAUUUAGGUCUAGUAAGUGAGCAUGGUGGUUAUUAUAUUGAUGGAUAAAUCACCCUUUAGUAAACAUGGAGCAGAUGUAGUUAGGCGAUUGUGAUCUUGAACGAAUUUCACGGUGGAUUACGAGAUUUUCAAUAGAUUUAGUUAGUAGAUUGUGAUCUUCGGAAGAUGUGAAAGAUGUUCGAUAGAUUAAUUAAUCUUAAACAAUUUGGAUUUAGCUAGAUGAUUGUGAUAUUGAACCAAAUUUCUCUGUGAUUUAUGAGAUUUUAGUUGGAUUUAGUUAGGUGAUUGUGUCUUGAGAUGAUAAUCAAACAUGUUUGGUGGAUUAUGAGAUUUUAGGUCUAGUAGAUGAGCAUGGUGGUUACUAUAUUGGUGGAUGAACAAAUAUUUAUUUAAUUUGAAACAAUUUGGAUUUAGUUAUGUGAUUGUGAUCUUUUGACCAAAUUUUACGGUGGAUUAUGAGGUUUUGGUUGGAUUUAGUUAGGUGAUUGGUGUCUUGACGAGCUAGUAAAAGAUGUUCGGCUAGAUUAUGCGAAUUUAGGUCUAGUAGGUGAGCAUGUUGAUUAUUAUAUUGGUGGAUAAAUAAAUUUAUAAACUUGAAUUUUUUUUGGAUUUAGUUAGGCGAUUGUGAUCUUGAACCAAAUUUUAUGGUGGAUUAUGACAUAUUUGAUGGAUUAGUUAGUUGAUUGUGAUGUUGAGGAGAUAGACAAAGAUGUUCGGUGUAUUAAUUAAUCUUGAACAAUUUGGAUUUAGUUAGGUGAUUGUGAUAUUGUACCAAAUUUCUCCGUGAUUUAUGAGGUUUUAGUUGGAUUUAGUUAGGAGACUGUGUCGUAAGAAGAUAGUCAAAGAUGUUUGGUGGAUUAUGAGAUUUUAGGUCUAAUAGAUAAGCAUGGUGAUUAUUAUAUUGGUGGAUAAAUGAACCUUUAAAAAUUUGAAACAAUUUGGAUUUAGUUAGCGGCCUGUGAUCUUUAACCAAAUUUUAUGGUGGAUUAUGAGAUUUAGUUUGGCCGCGCUCCGCCUCUUCCUCGAGGAGCAUGUGCAGUGCUGUGGCCUCAGAAGAUGGGCGUCGACACCUGCAGCUUGUGCACAAUGGUGACUCCACGCAUCUCCUGUGCCCCACAACCCUCUCCUUCCCGGCAGAGGAGGAGCAGGAGCAAGGAUGACGAGGCGGUUCAGGUUUGCCUCCACCUCAGUUCUCCCCCCUGCUCUCACUCUUGUCUCCCUUUUUUGUCUCAUUCUGCAACUUCAUUCAAGCAUAUAUUUUAAAUUGUUAGGUAUUCCAGGUAGUUAGCUUAUCUAUGGACUUCCUGCAAUCAUUAAUGUUCAUUGUCUUUGUUUGGAUUUUGUUGGGCACCUGCGGCAACGGCUGUCGGACACGACGGACGCUGCCAGGUCUGCGUCGACAUCGUGCUCACGGAGUCUGGCCUCUGCAUUGUGUUCUCCAUCUUGCAGUGCAUGAUGAACUACACGCUAAAGUUCAGCUGAAGUUCCCAUGUUUUCUUCUACUACAAGAGUUCUGUCGAUUUGUACUACUUGGCUGCAAAUGUAUGCCGUUUGCAUCACCAUACGGAUAGUGGUUUGUUCUUCUGGCACUAUUCAUGGUUCUCAUCAUAGCCAUACUGAAUGAUGGCAAGUGGCAUCUCUGAAUUUAUCAUAUGAAUUGUGACUUUAUGAGCUUGCUUGGCUACUGACCUGCUAUGUGGGAAGGGCAUCCUUUUACCAGAGCUAUGGAUUUUAACAUGCUCCAUUUCCUUCAGACAGGUUUUCUGAAUAUACUCGCAACCAUGGCCUUACAGUGCUACACGCCUCUGUUGAAGCCCCAACUGGCCCAAGUCUCGGUCAACCCUUCCAUUAACACGAUACAGAUUCCAGGUUUGCUUUGCCUUGCACGAAUAUGCUCGUUCCAUGACAUCUCGUUGGAAUAUGUACCGGAUAACAUGUGUUGAUGUGUGGAUGCACUGGCUAGCAAUUAGUUAUUCUAAUACUCUUCUGAUAAUUAUCUUCUCUGAAUAUACACGAAAUAAUGGCCUUACAGAGUCAGUGCUCCGCCCCUCUGCUGAAGCCUUAACUGGCCCAAGUCUCGGCCAGCCCUUCUCUAAAUCGAUGCAGAUUGCAGAUUUGCCUCGCACCAAUAUGCUCCUUGCAUAAGCUAGUAAUCUCUGGCCAUAUUUCAUUUUUUAUCCCACUUGCAUCAUGCCUGAUGACUUUUUUUGUGCCACCAAUUUGUGUAUGUUCAAGGAGUAGCAGAUUUUACGCAUCUUUUUUUUUGUGUCAUUGCUUCAUCAAAUGGAAAUUUAAGUAACGGGAGAUUCGUGAAAUGGAAAUUUAAACCAGUUUAUGAUUUGGUGAGGAAUCUAUAUAUAUUAGUGUGUGUUGUUACAUUGAGCUCUAAAUAACGGGGAGCACACAAAAUUACAUUCAAUCCAAAUAGGGCUGGUGUUUGCAUCUGUAUUCUGUAGUUCUGUAUGUUGUAUUCAAAUAAACUGUUUCUUUUUAGGUGUUCAUUUUCAUCUUAAUAAUGCUGAUUGUUAUUCACUUGGAACCAUCAUGUAAACCUAGCUGGACAUGGUCAAACUAUAAUUUUCCAUGUUUCAAAAUAGUAUGUGGUUUAGUACUUUGUUCCAAGAGUCUUUCUUCACAGCAUGGAUUUUUUUUUUAGUAUUCUCCUAAAUCUUUUUGGUGUCUUGAUGUGAUCUGAUCAUCAGAAUGCAUGAACUGUAUUGAAUUCUUGUAAGGAAGCAUUUGAAUGUUACUUGUCCUGAUCUAAUUAUCUGCAAUCCACAGGUUAUGGAACUGCACUUGCAAUGGUAGCAGGAACGACCUUGCUUGGGCGACCUUCUUGUUAUGAUAUUGUUGUCUAAGAUAAAAUCCCUGAAUCUGCUCCAUGGUUUGUUGUCUAAGUUAAAAUCCCUGAAUCUGCUCCAUGGUUUUGUUGUGUUGGAUGUGCCCCAAGAAGCUUCUUUUUUUGAUUUUUGUUGUCAUGCUCCUCAUACUCAUUAUGAAGUUUGGCAAAUAUCAAUUCUCUGCAUGUUCUUCAUAACUAUGGCGAAUCACAUGAAGUUCAAAUGUUAGCAUAACUAAUAAGUUGUAUGUUCGGCAAUGACACAAUGCACAGAUCAAGUGUUAGUUUUCUGAAACUGUUGUACUGUGAACUGAUGCUAACUUCCUCACUUUUAUUUGUAGUUUGGCCUACAUCGGUACCUGGUGUCGAUGUGAAGGAAAAUACCUUAGACCUUAGCAGGACUACUUACCGCCGCCUUGCAACUCAUUUUCUCCAGAAGUGUCUCGGCCUCAGAUAUGACAACUUGAGAAUUCAGAUUUUUUUGUAGCGCAGAACCCAUAAGUUCCUAUCUUUGUGCUAGCUAAACUUGAGCUUAAGUUGUAAUGGUGUAGUCAAAAUUAUUUGUGUGGUGAAUUUUUAUUCUUUUAUGUGUCUGUAUUGAGUUUUGUAGUUUUAUUUGAUAAUUAUUUGUGCAAAUUUUAGUA